AUUAACGUUGGUAGUAUGCCUAACACAUGCAAGUCGAGCGGAAAGUAGUAGCAAUACUGAUUUUAGCGGCGAACGGGUGAGUAAUGCUUAUCUAACUUGCCAAUUAGUGGGGGAUAACCGUGGGAAACCAUGGCUAAUACCGCAUUUGUUACCUAGUAAUAAAAGGGAGUCGCGAGAUUCUCGCUAAUUGAGAGGGAUAAGUCGUAUUAGUUAGUUGGUAGGGUAAUGGCCUACCAAGACUAUGAUGCGUAGCCAGUCUGAGAGGAUGAAUGGCCACAAGGGAACUGAGACACGGUCCCUACUCCUACGGGAGGCAGCAGUGAGGAAUUUUUGGCAAUGGGGGCAACCCUGACCGAGCAAUACUACGUGAAGGAUGAAGGUCUAUGGAUUGUAAACUUCUUUACUUGGAUGUACUCCUAAAAACUUGCAUCCGAGCAAAAAGUCACGACUAACUAUGUGCCAGCAGUCGCGGUAAGACAUAGGUGGCAAACGUUAUCCGGAAUUAUUGGGCGUAAAGGAUGCGUAGAUGGUCUGGUAAGUUAUCAGUGGUAAAUCGGGGCUUAACCCCGUGGAAGUUGGUAAUACUGCUAGGCUUGAGUGCCGGAGAGGUUAACGGAACUCCCUGUGGAGCGGUGAAAUGCGUAGAUAUAGGGAAGAACAUCAAAUGGCGAAGGCAGUUAACUAUUCGGCUACUGACAUUGAGGCAUGAAAGCGUGGGGAGCAAAACGGAUUAGAUACCCGUGUAGUCCACGCCGUAAACGAUGAGUGCUAGAUAUUGGACAUUAGUUCAGUGUCGCUAGGUAACCCGGUAAGCACUCCGCCUGGGUAGUACGCUCGCAAGAGUGAAACUCAAAGGAAUUGACGGGGACUCGCACAAGCAGUGGAGCAUGUGGUUUAAUCCGAUGCGACGCGUAGAACCUUACCAAGGCUUGACAUGUUCGGCAAAACUGGGGAAACCCAGCAGAGGUUAUCCGAACACAGGUGCUGCAUGGCCAUCGUCAGUUCGUGCCGUGAGAUGUCGGGUUAAGUCCCGCAACGAGCGCAACCCCUGUGAUUAGUUGUUAGGUCUAAUCAGACUGCCGGUAGAAAACCGGAGGAAGGUGGGGAUGACGUCAAGUCAGCAUGGCUCUUACGUCCUGGGCUACACACACGCUACAAUGGCCGGUACAGAGGGAAGCGAGACCGCGAGGUGGAGCGGAUCCCAAAAAGCCGGUCUCAGUUCGGAUUGCAGGCUGCAACUCGCCUGCAUGAAGUCGGAGUUGCUAGUAACCGCGCAUCAGCACGGUGCGGUGAAUAUGUUCCCGGGCCUUGUACACACCGCCCGUCACGUCAUGAAAGUGGGCAACACCUGAAGCCGGUGGCCUAACUUGGCUUGCCAAGAGGGAACUGUCGAGGGUGGGGUUCAUGAUU
rnacentral:rRNA from 1 species